rnacentral:rRNA from 1 species
UUGCUACUGUGUAUGUAUUCUACUUAAGUUAAUUGAAGCUAGUAAAUUUUAAUUAUAGACUAGGAUUAGAUACCCUAUUAUUUUAAAAUGAGUAAUAAAAGAACUGAUUAGUGUUAGAUAUAUACUUUAAAAUUAAAAGAUUUGGCGGUAGUUUAAUCUUAUUAGAGGAACUUGUUUUUGAAUCGAUAAUCCACGUAUAAUCUUACUUAUUUUUGUGUUAUAUUUCAGCUUGUAUACCAUCAUUAUCAGGUAAUUCUAAAAGGAUGAAUUUCUUAGUUUAAUUGUUUAGUAAAAUUAGAUCAAGGUGCAGCUUAUGAAUAAGUUAAAAUGAGUUACAAUAAAUUAUUUUAUAACGGAAUAAAGGUAUAAUUGUUUUAUGAAGGAGGAUUUAAUUGUAGUGGGUGGAUUAAUAAGCACUCACGAAAUAAGCUCUAAACUAUGUACAUAUCGCCG